rnacentral:rRNA from 1 species
GACGAACGCUGGCGGCGUGCCUAACACAUGCAAGUCGAACGGAGAACAUUUAGCAAUAGGUGUUCUUAGUGGCGGACGGGUGAGUAACGCGUGAGCAACCUGCCUUUCGGAGGGGGACAACAGCUGGAAACGGCUGCUAAUACCGCAUAACGUAUAUUGACGGCAUCGUCGAUAUACCAAAGAUUUAUCGCCGAAAGAUGGGCUCGCGUCUGAUUAGCUAGUUGGUAGGGUAAUGGCCUACCAAGGCUGCGAUCAGUAGCCGGACUGAGAGGUUGAACGGCCACAUUGGGACUGAGAUACGGCCCAGACUCCUACGGGAGGCAGCAGUGGGGAAUAUUGGGCAAUGGGGGAAACCCUGACCCAGCAACGCCGCGUGAAGGAAGAAGGCUUUCGGGUUGUAAACUUCUUUGACCAGGGACGAAGAACGUGACGGUACCUGGAAAACAAGCCACGGCUAACUACGUG